AAUUUUUAUUUAAUAAAAAAAAAACCCGAACGCACAAAAAAAUUUGAAAAAACAAACUAUUUUGUUUUUCUCUUUUUUUUCUUUCUUUCCUUCUCUUUCUUUCUUUUCUCUCUUUUUCUUUCUUUCUUCUUUCUUUCUUCUCCCCUGUUCUCCUUUGUGUCACUCGAAGCCCCUCCAUCGCCGCCAUCUCCUCAUCCGCCGCCCGUAGCCCAUGGCCGGCCAUCAAGCGCGCGACCUCAGCCUUGAUCGCUCCUCCAUCUCACCACGCAAGCGCACGCCGCCUCCUGGCCACCACUUUGCCGCCGUUCCUCUCACUCGGGCAACCACCGCAGCUCCCUUGCGCAUCUCUCUCUCUUUCUCUCCCGCGGCCGUCGCCGCCGCCAACAGCCCCAGCAGUCAGCUGCGGCAGCCUAUCGCUCGGCUAUUUUGCGCGCUACUCUCUCUCUCUUCCAUUCCCGCUUCUUCCCUCGACGACCAGUGGAGUUGUUUGCUACACCAGUGGUACUGGUGGGAUAACUGGACCUCAAUUGGGUACCUCUAUUUGGUUGGUUGAGUUAUUAUUGUCAAAUAUCUAAGCUGUCAUUGUUGAAAUUGCUGAUUCUGAGUUAAGGCAUUAACUAGCCAACUGGAGCCAUUUGUUGAGAUUUUGGAUGGACAAAGUUUUGCAUUUGCUGGUUGAAUUGAGUUGAGAUAUCUCAGAAUUUGGCCGUGUACUUCCAUCACAUCGAUUUCCGUGCACUAUUCCUGCCUACCCUUUUAGCCACUCGUGAGGGAAGUUUCGUUGCCCUUUUUGCUUUAAUUGCUUUAUUUCCUCCAUUGAGGACAAUGUAGGAUUUAGGUGUGGGGGGAGGACAGCUGUGCUAGUUUUUCUACUUUUUAUUUUUAGAUUUUUUCCUCUUUAUUUGUAGUUUGUUAUUUGCCCAUCUCUCGUUCAUUUUCUUCCUUUUUUUUUUAGCAAUUAGCUCGUAUGUGCAUGCCAAGGUUUGAUGUUGGAUUGUUGCCUAUAUUUCUGCUAUUGCCAAAGUUUUAAUAAUAACAGGGUAUCAAGUUAAUGUGAUUUAGUUCAGGGACUUCUCUUUGAUGAAUAUCAGUAAUUGCUUGACUCUUUUACUUUUUGGUUAACUAUUCUAGGCAUAGGGAACAAUUGUUGGCUUUUUCAUGUGAAUUGGUCUGGUUAUUAAAUUUAGUUCUCCAUAUUUGAAAAUUUGAGGCUGGCUGCUGUUACUCUUGUGUUAUUUUUAGUUAUCGUGCUAUGUGGGUAUAAAUAAGAGUUGAUUGUGCUCCACUAGUUGCUACUACCGAGUAACCGGGGAUCUUCACCUAAAGUGUCGAUUCUCGCGUCAAAAAGUAGUAAAUGCUAUGAGUAUGUGGUCACAUGGCGAUAGAAGCUAAGUAAUCGGGCUCUUUCAUCAGAUAAAUAUUAGAGUUCGCAUCAAAAGGCUCCUAUGGUUAUAAAACUAAGUCUUGUGUUACUAUUGAAAAAAAAAUGAAAAAAAAUGAAAAAAAGGUGAUGGUUGUGUUAAUGUGUGAUAAAAGUCAGUUUACCGAUUUAUGGAUUUAAUGUUGAGAUUUUGGUUAAUAGUUGGACCAUUCGCUGAUAAAUGUUGAGCGACCACUCCUUUUUCUUAUAUUAGUUAACCUGAAAUUGGAAGAGUUUAUGGUUUAGAAGCUAGCCAGAGUGAUGUUUCUUGGACUUGACCAUUGAUGCUUGAUUAUUAUUUUUCUUGGUAUCUUGGCAAUUUGGUGGAUAGAGCAAUAGCCACUAUCAAAUAUUGGUGUUUGUUUAUUGUUCUCAUGCUUGAGGACAAGCAUGGUUUAGGUGUGGGGGGAAUUGAUUGGUUACAAUUUCAUUAUUUAUUUUAUUAUUAAUUUUCCCUAUUACCUGACCUGAUGUGGAUUAAUUAUUAGAUUCUACUCAUUUUUCGUAAUUUACAUUUAUUUCAGGAAAUAGAACAAAAUAUCACAAUCAAGACCAAUUUGACAGUCAUCGGGAAAGAAUUUAAAUGGAAGGUCUUCAGGGGUAUUUUUGGAACAAGAAAACACAAGUCCUUUCUGGUAAUUUGCGGAAGACAACAUUCAAAAAAGAAGCACAAAAGGCUGGAGUCAUUUCUCUCCUGGUGGGCCGCGCACAUGAGAGCCAAGCAUUAGAAUAGAUUAGUAAUUCAAUAGGUACGGGGAGUAGCAGAAGACUUCUCUUGGGCUUUGGACAAUUUCAUCCUUUAGUGGUUUUGAGUCCAUGUAUGUUACACUUAGGUAGAAAUAAGGGGUCAUCAUCUUUUUGACUGAGCAGUGUUUCUUUCCAUUAUUCGGUUUUCCAUCGUUUCUUCCUUCCUAAUUGGGAGAAUUUAUGUCACAACUAUUUAUGUAGUUUUGCAUAGGAUUUUUUCAUCAAUAAUGAGUUAAAUCCCUUUUUCUAGUUAA